rnacentral:rRNA from 1 species
GUGGGGAAUAUUGGACAAUGGGCGAAAGCCUGAUCCAGCCAUGCCGCGUGUGUGAAGAAGGUCUUCGGAUUGUAAAGCACUUUAAGUUGGGAGGAAGGGCAGUAAGUUAAUACCUUGCUGUUUUGACGUUACCGACAGAAUAAGCACCGGCUAACUUCGUGCCAGCAGCCGCGGUAAUACGAAGGGUGCAAGCGUUACUCGGAAUUACUGGGCGUAAAGCGCGCGUAGGUGGUUUUGUAAGUUGGAGGUGAAAGCCCCGGGCUCAACCUGGGAACUGCCUUCAAAACUGCAUGACUAGAGUACGGUAGAGGGUAGUGGAAUUUCCUGUGUAGCGGUGAAAUGCGUAGAUAUAGGAAGGAACACCAGUGGCGAAGGCGACUACCUGGACUGAUACUGACACUGAGGUGCGAAAGCGUGGGGAGCAAACAGGAUUAGAAACCCUUGUAGUCC